ensembl:snRNA U6 U6 spliceosomal RNA
GUACUCGCUUCGGCAGCACAUAUACUAAAAUUGGAACGAUACAGAGAAGAUUAGCAUGGCCACUGCGCAAAGAUGACACACAAAUUCAUAAAGCGUUCCAUAUUUUU